CAUCAGACGCAAUCUGCCGCAAAAAUGUUGCGGUCUCCGCAUAACGGAUAACUUGGCGAAACGCCAAGCUAAUACGUGAAUAGAGGGUGCCCUCCACUCACGCGGCCUUCACGGGUUGCAGCGAGGUGUGCCCUGCGAAUGAAUGAAAUUAAAACCAACGCGCCGCAAGGCGCAGCAACACCCAGAAGUGUUGAUUCAAUUCAUUCCGUGCGAAAGCCGGUUUACCGGCGUCUUCUGAUGAACAACUGCCCUAUCAGCCAGUGAUGGCCGUGUAGUGGACUGCCAUGGCGUUGACGGGAGCGGGGGAUUAGGGUUCGAUUCCGGAGAGGGAGCCUGAGAAACGGCUACCACUUCUACGGAGGGCAGCAGGCGCGUAAAUUGCCCAAUGACGAAAAAUGUUGAGGCAGCGAAAAGAAAUAGGUCUCCUAAGCGUCUCUAUGGCGCUUGGGAGUUGCAAUGGGGGAUAUUUACACCCAUCCAAUAUCGAGUAACAAUUGGAGGACAAGUCUGGUGCCAGCACCCGCGGUAAUUCCAGCUCCAAGAGCGUAUAUUAACGCUGUUGCUGUUAAAGGGUUCGUAGUUGAACUGAGGGCUGUCAAGGAGUCGGAUCCGUCCCAUCCACCGGAUCGGCGACCUCCGCUCUUGCAGCUCGUGAACGUCAGAAACAA
rnacentral:rRNA from 1 species